rnacentral:rRNA from 1 species
AAUAGAUACCCGGGUAGUCCACGCCGUAAACGGUGGGCACUAGGUGUGGGCGGCAUUCCACGUCGUCCGUGCCGCAGCUAACGCAUUAAGUGCCCCCGCCUGGGGAGUACGGCCGCAAGGCUAAAACUCAAAGGAAUUGACGGGGGGCCCGCACAAGCGGCGGAGCAUGUGGCUUAAUUCGACGCAACGCGAAGAACCUUACCAAGGCUUGACAUACACCGGAAAACCCUGGAGACAGGGUCCCCCUUGUGGUCGGUGUACAGGUGGUGCAUGGCUGUCGUCAGCUCGUGUCGUGAGAUGUUGGGUUAAGUCCCGCAACGAGCGCAACCCUUGUCCCGUGUUGCCAGCAGGCCCUUGUGGUGCUGGGGACUCACGGGAGACCGCCGGGGUCAACUCGGAGGAAGGUGGGGAUGACGUCAAGUCCUCAUGGCCUUUAUGACCAGGGCUGCACACGUCCUACAAUGCGUUGUACAAAGGGAAGCAACCUCGUGAGAGCAAGCAAAUCCCAAAAAGCAACGCCCAGUUCGGAUUGCAGGCUGCAACUCG